GUUGCUGCAUCACUUUCACCUUCGUUUGAUACUCGCAUUGGGAGGGCACACAGAAGCGCAAUUGAGAACAAGAAAGGGAAUGUGUCUGCAACACCAACUUCGUCUGGUACUCGCACGAGGGCACGCAGCUGCGCAACUGGGAACAAUAAAGAGAAUAUGGCUGCAACACUUUCGCUUUCAUUUCCUCGCACGAGAUCACACAGCAACGCGACCGAUAUUCAUCCAAUGAAUGUUGCUGCAUCACUUUCACUUUUACCCGGUACUCAUAAACGCCAUAGGUCUGCUUCAGUUCUCAAAGCAACUGAGACUAAUGUAUCUACCACUGACAGUGAUAAGGCCCCUGUUGCAAAGAGAGUCAAGACCAACAUCCAGGCAAGCAGCAGCAGGUCCGUUCUGUCAUGGAAAACAGAGACU